CAGGUGCUGCAUGGCUGUCGUCAGCUCGUGUCGUGAGAUGUUGGGUUAAGUCCCGCAACAAGCGCAACCCCUAUCUUCAGUUACCAUCAUUAAGUUGGGGACUCUGGAGAUACUGCCCCGGUCAACGGGGAGGAAGGUGGGGAUGACGUCAAGUCCUCAUGGCCUUUAUGUCCAGGGCUACACACGCGCUACAAUGGUCAGUACAAAGGGUAGCAAGCCUGCGAGGGUGAGCCAAUCCCAUAAAGCUGAUCUCAGUUCGGAUUGGAGUCUGCAACUCGACUCCAUGAAGCUGGAAUCGCUAGUAAUCGUGGAUCAGCAUGCCACGGUGAAUACGUUCCCGGGCCUUGUACACACCGCCCGUCACACCAUGAGAGUUGGUUGUACCAGAAGUCGUUGGGCCAACCCCGUAAGGGGGGGUAGGCGCCUAAGGUAUGGCUGAUAAUUGGGGUGAAGUCGUAACAAGGUAGCCG
rnacentral:rRNA from 1 species